AAUUCUUGAUAGUUCGUGUGGCGAAGACCAUUGAGCGAGAUUCUUCUUGGUCUCCGAAGGGUCCCUUUGAACAAGAAGAAUUAGAAGAACAGGAGAAGACCAAUUCUUGAUAGUUCAUGAAGCCAAGUCCAGUUUUCUUUCCGGUUGAGGUGGGUGUCCCUCCGUUUCAGGUUAUUCUUGACUCUGCGAAACCCUAGUUCCCAAUUCAAUACCGAAUCCGGACAACAUCUUAGCAUUCAGCCCACAGAGCUCAAAUUCCCCUGUGGAUGCUUUAAUUUCUUGACCUUCUGAUCUUGUGAGCUUAUUGCCAGGAGUCAUUUGUCUUGUGAGCAGUUUGGCACCUUUUUGGCAAAGGUUAAGGAAUUAAACGCCCACGAGCAAAGAAAAUUGAGCUCAGGUCUUGCAUUAUGAUUAAUUUUGGUGCUAUUUUACAGUUAAUUGAGUGAGUGUUACUUGUCUAUAAAUAACUGGAACAUUUCAGGACUCUGUAGAAUACUGAUGAGAUAUUUGGGACAGAGAAUAAGGACGUAUACACUAUAUUGGAGGAUUGAUCAGUCAAACGUCUAUAGAACCCUAUACACCAUACUGGAAAGGUUGCUAACAGUCCAUUGAACUUGUGGCAAUUGAAUUCUGUAAAUUUAAUCCAUUUUUCAUGUAAUUAAAUAUGAAUCUGCAAUAAGUCAAUUCUUUGAA